rnacentral:lncRNA from 1 species
UGAAGAUAUUUAAUACUCUAUAGUAUACGAACUUACUUUUUUGUCUCUUUUUUUUUUUUUUUUUUUUUUUCAGGAAUACUGAAAUUUGCACGUUCCUCUUGACUAUUCUCUGGUGUUUUACAUACUCUUGUUUGCUAAACACUGUGCCGUACGGAAGAUGGCUGAGCUACAUGUCCUUUCUCCUGUCCAGUUGCUGCAUUGGACAGGACACACGAGACUCUGAAGUACUCGUAACGGGAAGAUUUACGUGAACUCAGUUUUCACAUGAAAAUUAUGAGCUGAAGGUCUUUUAAUUGGAAUUAAUAUCCAGUAUGUAUGGACCGUAUUCAAAGCUGCAUGCAACAAUAAAGUUGUAUCUAAUUUUACAUUAUUUUUAACUGUUGUUUAAGCUUAAACAGAUUAAAUAAAAUUUUACAUUUUGUCUGUAUUUCAGUCCAUGUAAAAGUAUUAUUACAUGAUGGUAUUCUAACAUUUGAAAAGGCUAUGGACAUACAAUGGGAAGUGUAUCUGAAAAUUGCUUAUUGCAGUCCAUUCAAAAUGUCAUGCUAGGUUACUGUAGAUAGCGCUUGACAUGAAGAAUAUCUGGUGCUAAAAAUAAAUAGCAUUCCCAAAGAAAACAUGAUAGUAGAGCACUUCAAUAUGUAGUAAUUACCUCUAUGUAUAGGAUAUGUGUCUCCAUCUACAACAUGGGGAAAACAAGACACAUACGUAUAAUACUGUGUAUACACCUAAAACUCUGUCCAAAUAUUGUAUGUAAACCCACUCACAUUGGAGGGAGCCUGAUAUGACUCGCUCUGAUGUUAUGGGACUUUGUCAUAUCAAGUGAUACUACUUCCUGCGUGCGGCACUGACUUCCUUGCUUUUGCUAAAAUCAAAUAUAAUGAUCGUACCGGUUUCACGUUUCAGGCUUUCUCAACCAGAAUGUUGAAGUUCCUGGGUGUCUUUACUUAAACCAUACAGGAGUCAGUUAGUCCUGGCCACAUGACGUGAAGAGCCAAUCAUUUGCCCUCACCUUUGUCAUCUACUCCGGUUUUUACAGACGUGACGUUCCAGAGGAGUAAUAGUAUGUCACUUUUGGUAUCGAAUCUCCAUUAAAUGAAUCCUAACUGCAUUGCUUGUGUUGUAGUUGGCAUAUAAACCCUCAUGGCAGCAUGAAUGAUUGCACAGUAAUAACAUUCUUAAAACAACUUCAAAUACAUUGUCUUUAAUAUUGUUAGUUCCAAAUGCAUGUGUGAGCCUCCAGAAUACUUAAAACAUACCAGUUUAAAAAAAAAUCAGGGACAAAUCUUCAAACAUCAAUUUGGAAAGCCCCAAGACAUGUUUUUCAAAAUAAAACUAGAAGCAUUAAUCAAUUUAAUCCUUAACUUAUUCACCCUAACAUGUGAGCAUUUCAUCUAAAUGGAGUUAUGGGACAUCAUUCAUAAAGACACUUGCAGGAAGUAGCUCUCUUACAAGUUUGUAUUUCAAAAUAUUUUAUGUAAGAAAUACAUUAAAAAAAAAAAAAGAACUCUGUCAAUAUUUGCAUUAAAGAUCCAUUUUAUGUGGGUUUUUUUGUUUGUUUUUUUUAAAAUAUCAUGAACUCUUCAACUGAUGUCAAUCUUAAACCAAUAGUUUUUUUUGAAUACCUAUAAAUUAAAGACCAAACUGCUACACACUAUAGCAUUAGGAAUACAAACAUGCUGUAGAUUUACCCUACCGAUUUUGAUGUGUUAUACCCCUCCUCCCCUUCCAUAAGGGUUUAAAACUGGAGUUUUAUUUACCUGUACCCCCUCUCGCUGUAAAAUCUCACCACAUCCACUCGAUCUUCCUUAUACGGAAGCAUUGGAAGGCCAGUGCACAUGUGCAGCAAAUCACAAAGAUACAUCAAUCAAAUGCUCUCUUGAAACGAGUCUGACUCUGGAAAACAACCACUAGAAAUGUGUUUAACCCCACAAUGAAAACAUAGUCGUUUUACAAAACUGUAAAUUAAAAAAAUAAAUAAAAAAAAUUUAAUCUUAUCCUCUGUAAUUGCCUAUAUUU